CUCCUACCGAUUGAAUGGUCCGGUGAAGUGUUAGGAUCGCGGCGACGUGGGCGGUUCGCUGCCUGCGACGUCGCGAGAAUUCCACUGAACCUUAUCAUUUAGAGGAAGGAGAAGUCGUAACAAGGUU
rnacentral:rRNA from 1 species